rnacentral:rRNA from 1 species
CCUACGGGUGGCAGCAGUGAGGAAUAUUGGUCAAUGGGCGGGAGCCUGAACCAGCCAAGCCGCGUGAAGGAAGAAGGCACCACGUAUCGUAAACUUCUUUUGUCGGGGAACAAAGGGCGCCACUAGUCCCCGGAUGAGGGUACCUGAAGAAAAAGCAUCGGCUAACUCCGUGCCAGCAGCCGCGGUAAUACGGAGGAUGCGAGCGUUAUCCGGAUUUAUUGGGUUUAAAGGGUGCGUAGGCGGCCUGUUAAGUCAGCGGUAAAAGCCCGGGGCUCAACCCCGGCGAGCCGUUGAAACUGGCGGACUAGAGAUGGAGAGAAGUACGCGGAAUGCGCGGUGUAGCGGUGAAAUGCUUAGAUAUCGCGCAGAACCCCGAUUGCGAAGGCAGCGUACCGGCGCCACACUGACGCUGAGGCACGAAAGCGUGGGUAUCGAACAGGAGUAGAUACCCUAGUAGUC